AUGUAUGUGAUGCGGGUUCAUGUGUUUGCACAUGAACCAUUUGAUGCUAUUGUUCUAUGUGAUGUUUGCUGUUUUUCAGAAAACAGGAUGAGAGGAACUCGUCGAUCUGCACGAUUGACUGGAGUACCACCCCAGGAUGAGGGCACUGAUGCCCGUCCUCCUGCAUUGCCUAGAGCAAUGUCAAGUAGGUCCAGCAGAGAAAGAGCAGUAAGAGACCCU
rnacentral:lncRNA from 1 species